GAAUCUUAUAUUCUUUAUACUUUUAUGUUUGCUCAUUAACUGAUCCAAUGCAUUACACAUAGCAUUACACAUAUCACGUAUACAUGCACCGUGUCCUUAUAUGACCACUGCAACACACGAACCUUGCACGAUACUCACCUCACCACAGGUGUUUUAUCUCACGUACACAGACUCAACAACAGCUCCUUAUAAGGACUAUUUUUUAAACUCUCAAGGACAAGUUACUGCUACAUUCACAUAUUUAUACACUGACCACAAGGUGCUGACACAGAUAAAGCUGCACCUGUUUCUUUGAUCCUCCUCUGUAAGUUUCGAUCACACUAUAUGCUCAAGUAUAUAAAGAUUGUACGCCCCAAGAGCGGGCAGAGAACUUACUUUGUGUAUCCUGUACGCAUAGCUGAACUUCUCUCCAUGCUGCAUGUAAUAAACUGGGUGACUUAGCAACUCAACAGUUUCUGAAAGUCUCUUUUAUUUGCUCUCGUCCCAAGGGUCGGAGGGUUUCCUCUUUCUGCUGAUUUUCUGCAGGCCCAGUUCUACCACAAUUACAUGGCGACGAGGAUGGGAUUCCUAACAUCAACCGGGUAGUUUCCUCCGAAACAACUUCUCCACCCAAAUCAACUGAGGAAUAGACACAGUUUUUAUCUCCAGCUCCCACACAGUGGCCAGUUUAUCACCCCUUUCCAGCAGCUCAAGGAACCAACCCCUUUCACAGUCGAGAGCCACCCCAAGGUCAACAGAUCCGAAGGCAGUGAUGGAAAUAAACAGGACCUCAACUGAGAUGCUAGUAGACACUGGGGCUACUGUUU